CAGAACAUUCAUCGGGGACUCGGGCACGAACCCAAUCGAGGGUAGGUUAAUGAGGGAUUGAACGAUGGGGGCUUAUACGGGCGUCUCUAUUUUUAAUUUUCGCUUCAGACUUUGUGAUUUAACAAAAUCUUUACAAUAAAUUCAAGUUUACUUGACAAUUCUGCCAAGUGACUUCAAGGAGUACACAUAGAAGGGAAUCAGAUGCGGAGCUUCGUAGUCAGGAGGCGGGUCACCAUAGAAGGCUCUCAUGAUCGAAAGAAAAACACUUGCAGUCUAUAUACAACACUAAUCUACCAUAUCAGUUGUAGAUCUAUGUAUCAAAUCGAGAUCUAUAAUAGAUCUGUGAAUAAGACCGAAAACAACAGAUAAGUUUUUCUACUUCUUAACUUUAUACUUUUAGCAUUUUUUUAAAUUUAAUUCUAUUUUGCUUUCAGUUUGAAUCCCUGGAAUUCAGAUCGAAAGUUGCAACUUCGAUGAAAAUUAUCACAGAUAAGUUUUCUAUCUUUUACAGAAGAAGGUUGAAGCACAUACCAUGAAGAAGAUGUUUUUUCCCUUUCAUAGAACCUUAUCGUUGUUUUUCUGCGUCGAUUGAGUUCUUUAUUUCUGAUCUGAUCUCCUUGCUCUCGAUUCUCGCCUCCUUUAUGUGAUUAAUUUAGUCGUGACUGCUCUUGAUUCAGUUCUUGAUUUUUCGAAUUUACUGCCGUGACUUCUCUUUGAUGCUU